GACGUGCGCCCCGGACCUCCGCGACGGCGCCGGGCACAAUGCGGGGCCGUCGGGCCCCCGGGGCUGCGGACGCUGAGGCGGACGCCGGGCCGAUCGCGGCGCUGCAGAGCUGCGCGCCCGGCGGCGGCGCUGCGAAGGCCGGCCUCGCUCGGGCCCGCUCGCCGUCUGCCAAUGGGAUCUGUCAGGGCGCCUCAGCCCCGCGGCCUCGGGGGCGGGGCCGCGGGCGCCCGUGGGAACCCGAGCUGCGAUUGGGGCAGCCGACAAUCGCUCCUCCUCGGGCCAGCCAAUCGGCGGCUGCGGAGACGGGAGCGGGGCGUUCGGAGUUGGGGCUGGAGUGUGACAACAGGCGCACGCUUGGCUCUACCUGGCGCCGCGUCCCAGUCCCCCGGCCUCGCGGUGUGGCCGGGGCUGCGGCGGCGCGCGCUCUGGCGAGGCUGCCCGCCUGAAGGCUCCGGCCGCGCGGCCCGGAGAGACCGCGGGAGAAGAAGGCCGAGGGGCGGCGGGCCGGGGACCGGCGAAGGAGCCCCUAAACAAAGCAGCUUGGGGGCGGACCGAGCGACCUCCCCUUCCUGAUGCAAUAGGCCCGCGCGGCUGCCCGUCAGCCGGCGGAGGUGGAGGUAGCCAAUGACGUACACAGAAGGAGCUCGAGUUGGCGCGCGCGCGCGGCUCGGCGUCCGUGGGAUUGGUCGGAGGUAAAGGAUUUUCCUGCCACCUAAGGCGAAGAGGACCUGGGUCUGGAGCUUGUCAGUUCCCGAACUGCAGUGUAUGCCCUUGGUUCUCAUUUCCAGGCCUUAGUCUAGAGUUACACCAUCAGGUCACCCAGCUUGCGAAAUGUAGAUCCUGAGACUCGUUAGCCACUACCUAUAGGUACAGUAACAGGAAGCUGAGUCAGAAGUGGAGCUGCCAGGACUCACACAGACACCAAUGUAGGAUGCCAGCACUGCAGGUG